rnacentral:rRNA from 1 species
UACGGAAGGCAGCAGUGGGGAAUAUUGCACAAUGGGCGCAAGCCUGAUGCAGCCAUGCCGCGUGUAUGAAAAAGGCCUUCGGGUUGUAAAGUACUUUCAGUCGUGAGGAAGGUGUUAAGGUUAAUAACCUUAGCAAUUGACGUUAGCGACAGAAGAAGCACCGGCUAACUCCGUGCCAGCAGCCGCGGUAAUACGGAGGGUGCGAGCGUUAAUCGGAAUUACUGGGCGUAAAGGGCACGCAGGCGGUUAAUUAAGUUGGAUGUGAAAUCCCCGGGCUUAACCUGGGAGUGGCAUUCAAGACUGGUUAGCUAGAGUCUUGUAGAGGGGGUAGAAUUCCAUGUGUAGCGGUGAAAUGCGUAGAGAUGUGGAGGAAUACCGGUGGCGAAGGCGGCCCCUGGACAAAGACUGACGCUCAUGUGCGAAAGCGUGGGGAGCAAACAGGGAUUAGAUACC